CCAAAAACUCCGCCUGUAGGUCUUCCGGGGGCUACCGUCGGUCCCAAGCCCGGGUAAAGGAGGAGGGUUGG
rnacentral:ribozyme from 2 species